UACGGAGGGGACUAGCGUUGUUCGGAAUUACUGGGCGUAAAGCGCACGUAGGCGGAUUUGUUAGUCAGGGGUGAAAUCCCUCGGCUUAACCGGGGAACUGCGUCUGAUACUGGAUGGCUUGAGUUUGGGAGAGGGAUGCGGAAUUCCAGGUGUAGCGGUGAAAUGCGUAGAUAUCUGGAGGAACACCGGUGGCGAAGGCGGCAUCCUGGACCAACACUGACGCUGAGUGAGCGAAAGCCAGGGGAGCAAACGGG
rnacentral:rRNA from 1 species